rnacentral:rRNA from 1 species
AUGGUCGAGUUCUACGCACCCUGGUAUGGCCACUGCCGCGCGCUCGCGCCUCACUACGCCGCUGCCGCCAGCCUCGCCAAGCAGGGGAUCAACGUCGCGCUGGCCAAGGUGGACGCCAUCGAGGACCAUGACCUGGCGCAGGCGCACGAUGUGCAGGGCUACCCCACCCUCCUCUUCUUCAUCGGCGGCGUGCCUAGGGACUACUCCGGCGAGAGGACCAAGGACACCAUCGUGGCUUGGGUCGGCAAGAAGCUGGGCCCUGUGGUGCAGAACGUCACAACUGUCGAUGAGGUCGAGAAGGUCGUCACCAGCGACGACGUGGCCGUGCUCGCCUACCUCCACCACCUCUCGGCUCCUCUUUUCUGCUACUUCCAUGCAACGGUGGUGGCGGUGGUGCUGUUUGGCAUUGGCUACAAAAACACCCAAGGUUGUUCACCCAAGUGCUGCGCCUUUAGGGUCAACCCCACGGUGAAUUUAGAUGGCGGUCAUUUGGUAACCCCGUUUGAAAUUCUGAACAGAUGUUUUCAAGCGGGUUUUGUUUAUGAUAGCCAUGGAGCAGGAAAAACUGACAUGCUACUAAAGCUAAGAUGUAUAGCUAAUUCUUUACGUAUCUUUAUAACAUUGAAGAGCUCUUUAGUCCUGCCAGGACAAGGUUAUGAGAAGAUAUGCUGCUGGAAAGAUGCUCUUAGAAAACUGGAAGGGUUGCAACCAAAUCCAAUCGACAACAUGGCAGUGGUCUCUGAAUAUCUAAGCUAG